CAGCUGCUCCUAAAGGAGCUCCCACUUGGGGAUGGGGCCUUGGGCAUCCACAUUACUGUAGAGGGAAGAACUAGAGGAGAUCAAGCAGACCAACUUUUCUCACAGUCGGAUCACCUACCUCUACUGCCAGUUCACCAGCCUGGACAAAGGUAGAAGAAUCUGGGGAAGGCCGGUUCUAUGUGUCCUGCUUCUUUCUGUGUGUUUCCACAGUGGCCCAACCUGUAGUGUUUCUCCUUCAGAUGCAAAAAGGGAGAUCGCAGGAGUCCAUGCUCAGCUCCAGCCUAACUCGGUCCACAGGCAGGGAGAGAAUUAUGAAUGGAUGCUGCCUUCUGAUGAGGAAGUCGACUGGGGAGGUCUCUGCGCACGGCGCGCUCCAUCAAAGCCGGGGCAUUGGCCCCUCCACUGCUUCAAUGCUGCAGGCUGAGACACCUAAUUGACCACUGGGAAAUCAGGUGCCGGGAGACCUGGGCGGGACGUAGCCCCAGGGCCACGCUGAGAUCGAGCGCCUUGCCGGUGUAGACAGCUUCGAUUUACAGCCCAGUGAAUGGAGGGGACUGCGGCAGCCAAACCUCCCGGGCAGCAGGCACGGUUGCACCAACGCUCUGCAGACAACCGCCCGGCUCCGUGAACAUCUCCCAGCUCCGCUGGGCUAAAGGGAACCUGCUAAAAAUAAUCCGUCCCCUGCCGCCAGCCGCAGUGAGCUGCAGGACUCAGCCCCCAGCCCCAAACUCUGCGGUGCGCGGGAGCCGGCCACAAAGCCGGCCCUGCGCGCUUAGACAAGCCGGGGGUUGCGGAGGAUGCUGGGUCCGGAUUUCUGGAACCUGUGCGUUUGCUUCUCCGGUAGCGCGACUGCCCGUGCUGCGUGUUACCCAUGCCCGGAGUGGCAGUGGGCUCGGCACAUCACCAACAGGCUGGACCGACCACGGCUGCUCAGCACCGCACCCCCGCGGCUCCCUUCUCACCUCCCUUGUCCCCAGUCUUUGACCAACAGCAGAAGAAUGAGAGACGCUGACGGUGCCAACUCCUCCAGCCCCGGCAAGAGGGAAGCCAGACACUGGUGUGGAGUAGGUGCCGGGUGUGUAACAGGACUAGGGCAGCCCCCAGAUUGUAACAUUGCGUCCCUUCCCCCUAUUCAUCUCUGGUGGCUGAAACCUUGCAUCCUAGAUACAACUCACUCUGCCCAGGCUUAAAAACACUGCAAAGACAAUGCCUUCACAGUGAUGAACUGAUCUCCAGGGAAGGGUGAUUUACUAAGCCAGCUGUGGGGUUGAAUCAGGGUUAAAAACCAUGGCAUUGUGUGCCCAUGCCUUAGGCUGGUAGGUUGUAUAUAUAACAACAGCAUGCAGAAGAGAAAAAAGCCAUUUAGGGCCACUGCACCACUUAUGGGAUAUACCCUAAUAUAUAACAAGGGGGAAAAAAAACAGUGGAUGAAAUUAUCCAAAGAUGCCUUGUGGGACACAGUUUUUGGUAAUCUGUCUUGAUGCCUUGGAAACCCAUUUCAGAAAAACUUGACUAUUUUCUGACCAGGUCAUCUAUUUUCAAAUAGGGAGGUUUAUGCCCUGGACAGAUUUACAUGUGUGGGCAGUACUAUGUCCACGAGGCCGGUGACUCCUCCAUAAUUCACAGAUUGUGGUGAAACACUAACUUGCCAAGGUCAUAAGAAAUCACAGGGUUUGCAUGUGCACUGGUAGAGCAUUUCCUAAUUGGCAUUACUAUGAAUUAUGAUUGUGGUCACAUGAAAUAUCACAUCGAACCCAAGUUAGUCUGGGUUGGCUGCUGUCCUCCGACCCCACUCACACUAACCUCCUUGGAGGGUUGCCAGCUACCAGGAAGGUUAGAAGAUCUGGCCGGAGUCCCCCUGAAAGAUGGUGUGGCUAGGACAGGAAGGUUGAGGAGGAAAGAAGUGCUGUGGCCACUCCCCCAUGAGGAUCAGAGGAGAGCCAUGAACCCUACAGUUUAAGGGCUAGGUAGGCAAAGGAGAAGAGGCUACCAGAGAGAAAGAAAGAGAUGAGUCAGAGAAGCAGGAGACCAGGAGGGAAGGAGGGCCCUAUCUCAGAAAUCAUGGGACAAAAAAGUUUCAAGGAGGCAGCAUGAUUGAGAAUGCAAAUGUCACUGAGAGGUCCAUGGGAACAGUUUUGUCCGCCAACAGCCGACCUGUGCCCCUUAGACUUCAGGAAGGCCUGAUGGAGUGGACACUGAUAUGAAGUAUGGGGUGGAUGGGAAGGCCAGCCAGAGCUUCUGAAAAGAAAAGAGAAGUCUUUCCCUUAGACUUGCUCAUCAAAGGAUCGGUGGCACCAGCAGCAUUUGGGAACCUGUGCCACCCACACCUGGGAGAGGUGCACAGUGAGGUCUGGAGAUCCGUGUGUAUUCACAAGCUCCCAGACCCACUCUACUCGGGACACUGGAAGUCCCACCAGGGGACUCAAACUGGUCAGGCUCUGAAAUGAGAAUUUAUGUCUAGGUGAGCAAGAUGGUGAGCUCAUAGGGAGCUGGUGGCCGAAUCACUAACCCUGUAUCCCAAGAGUUGAACUGUGUUGCUCCGGGUUUUUGGGGCUGCUCUGUCAAGAGAGAGCCUUGCCAGCACUCCCUAAAGUAAUGGAAAUGGCCACAUCUUCCCCUUCACAUUGAUCUUUACAACACCGAGGUUGUUAUUAACAGUGAUAAUGAAAAUAAAUGAUAUAACUAGAUAGUUUGCACGUGAAUGAAGUUUUAGCAGUUCCCAUGGUGUAGAGGGGAAAAAAAAAACAAACCAACAAACCGGGUUUUUGUCCCAGGAAGACCUGUGCUUGAAUCCUAGCUCCUCCACCUCUUAGCGGUAUGGCCUUGGGAAAAUGAUUUGACUUCUCUGAACCUUGGUUUCCUCAUUUGUAAAAUGCAAACAGGAAUACCUAAUUUAUAGGCUUAUUAGGAAGAGUAAAUAAAAGAUACAAAGCACCAUGAUGGUGCCAGCACAUAAUAAAAGCCCAACAAAGGCAGUUCCUUCCUGUUAGAAGUCUUCAUGUGCAUGCUCGUCUAGUAGUUUUUCUGGGGUCCCUGUCCCCUGAAAGGUGGUUAGAGUACCCGAUGCUUCCCAUGGCUGAGGGCUCCAAAGGAAGCACAUACUGAACAUCUCUUAGAUGCCAGCUACUGUGCUACGUGCUGGCCAGGAGAGCAGGGUCUGGGCCCUGCUGGAACUGGCAUUUUAAGGGCAGAGUUUGCAUCCCAGUGCAAAUGGGUAUCCUACUUGUUUUUAUUGGAAGCCAAGGAUACCCAGUCUCAAGAAGAAACAACUGCAAAUGUGUCCUCCGUAGGACAGUGAUCAGUAAACUGGUUCUGCUGUAAAGGGCCAGACAGUAAAUAAUUUAGGCAUUGUGGGCCACGCAAUCUCUGUUGAAACUAGUUCACACUGCUGCUGUGUGUGUAGCUCAAAAGCUGCCACAGGCGAGGCAUAAAUGAAUGGAUGUGGCCGUGUCCCAAUAAAACUUUAUCCACAACAGCAGGCGGCAGGUGAGAUUCGGUCCGUGGGCCACAGUUUGUCAGCCUAUGAUCUAUACUGUGGCUCAAGGCAUAAAUAUUCCCUUUACCUGGUACUGCCAGGAAAUACGGAAGUCUCCAUAGGUGAUUUUGCACGUAACUAAAGUUUAUCCAAACACGAGCAGUUUCCUGAAGCCCCUUGUUAUUUUAAAGCCUAUUUUAUACCUUCCCUGGAAGAAACUGGCUAGUUAGCUGUUCACCAGACUGUCUCUGCCUUUCCCCCACAGCCAGCUUCCCUUGCAGUUAGGUGCAGCCACAUAACUGAGUGCUAGCCAAUGGAACGUGGGCAACGGGGUGUGUGUCUCCAGGCCGGGCCCAUAAAACUCCUACCCGUUCCUACACACACUCCCAUCUCCCUCCUGCUGGCUAAACACAGGCGCUCUGUCGGGUGGUGGAACCCCAAGAUGGAAGGAGCCUUGGUACCCAAAUGACUGCAUGCUGGCCUGCAUUAGACUGCACUGUGAGAAAUAAGCCUCUGAAAUGUUGGGGAUUUUAUUACCAGAAUUUAGCCUACCUUGAACAAUUCACUUUUCCUAUCUUUUUAAUCAGAUGGUAGGAAACACAAUUUAAUGCUUUGGUGACUACUUAGGGUCUUUAUUAAGAAGGCUUAUUAUUGGUCUCUAUGGUAACACAUUUCAAAGACUCCUUUUUGGGUUUCCAAGCUCUUUCCCUGAUAUUUAGCUCUCCACUGUCAUUCCUCUUUCACCCUCCUUCUAGCUCCUUCCCCGUGGUUUGAAUCCACAGUGAGCUGAAGAAAACAGACACCAUGGCUGAGUAACAUCUGUUCAUUAAACAAGAGUUACUAAUGGUCUGAGCAAGAACCUAAGCAAGGUUCUUAAUGAAGUUCACGGGCUUGCUCACAACUAUUUGCAGCCUUCGGAAGCUCCCUUCACUGACUUUCAGCCUCAGUGCUGUGUUCUAGAGAGCUGAAGUUAUUGGAAAUUCAGCAUCUCUGGAAUCAGUGUGGCAUUUCAGUAUUAUCUAGCCCACAAACUUUCAAUUUUUCUACUAGUCAGCCAGGGGGGAUCCAUGAUAAAGAUUCUAGUUCCGUGCCUUGACGUUCAUGGGCUAGGCAGCUUUCGAAAUACACUUUCGGAUUUUUCUGCACAUAGAUUAAGCCCAUUAUAUGCUCCAAAUCUGCUUUAAACUCACCUUUUCUGCUUAAUUAUUCUGUGGACACCAAGAGAUAUUAGUUAGCUCAUAGCUUAUAGGAACUAGGAGAAUUGACUUGAAAAGGCUAAAUAAUUUUAUUCUUGUUCCAGAGCUGGUAUUACCUUUAUGUCUUGGGCGAUUUACCAAGAAAACUGAGCCAAGCUUUGGACCUGGUCUUUGGAUUAUUCUGAGAGGUGGGGAUAUGGUCCUCUCCCAGCAUGAGGCAGGAUCCAGGAGAGGAGUUGGUAGGGCAGAUCAAUGAAGCAGGGAUUGGAGGAAGCAGACAGAGUCCAGAUACCUUGACAGUCUGAUUUUACUUUUUUAUCAAAAGAACUGAGAUAGCUGUAUUUAAAUGAUCCUCUUGGUCUGUCUCUUCAUCUAUGAAACAAGGAGGGUGGAGAUGAUCUAUCAGGUUUUCUCUAGGUCUGUCAUUCUGGAAGUCUAUUGUUCUAUGAAACCUGGAACCAAAAAUCUUUCUGAAAUGAUUGCUGAUCAUCAGUGCUUAGUUUCUCUUCCCAUUUCUGCUGAUACUCCAGAAACUGACAACUCUACACAUAAACUUUAGCAUCUGCAAGGGCAAUAAUAUGUUCUGUGGUCUGCGCAGGCUGGGGAAACCUUUUGCCCCAGCAUGACCUUGUUCGUGACCUUGGGGAUCUCAAUUCCAGCUCUACGCUCUACCAUACGCACCCUCUCCUCAUGUUCUUGGAGGCUGGCUUCCCUACUUUAUUCUCCCCAGCUCCAGUGAUGGAAACCCAGGUCUGCCUCCAAAGCUCACUUCCCUGAAGCAAGCUGGAUAUCCCCUUCAUGGCGAUGGGCAUGGCAGAGCCUUGUCUCCCAUGUCUCCUUGGCAGCACGUUACUCCUACUGUUGCCCCGCCACUGCUCAUAAGAGACCCCACGACUUCCAGAAGAAAUCAGGGCUAUAAAAUGGCUCACUCGUUCAUAAGGAGCUAUGUGUUUAUUCAUAUAUAUUUUAUAUCAUAACAAAUGUAAAUUAAUUUCAGGGUGCAACUACCCAAGCUAGCAUCUAUAUGGCUGCCUGUAUAAAAUUUCUCUCUCAAAAUUCUCUAAACCAUCUGGCAUAAACUACUGUAUUGUGACCUGUUAAAAUAAGUAACAGCUGUGAUAAUCCCUCCCGAUUUAUGGCAAGCUAUAAAACUCUGCAUAUACUGGCAAUGCAUAUAAAAUAAUAAA